rnacentral:rRNA from 1 species
AACGAACGCUGGCGGCAUGCCUAACACAUGCAAGUCGAACGAGACCUUCGGGUCUAGUGGCGCACGGGUGCGUAACGCGUGGGAACCUGCCCUUAGGUUCGGAAUAACUCCCCGAAAGGGGUGCUAAUACCGGAUAAUGUCUUCGGACCAAAGAUUUAUCGCCUUUGGAUGGGCCCGCGUUGGAUUAGCUAGUUGGUAGGGUAAAAGCCUACCAAGGCGACGAUCCAUAGCUGGUCUGAGAGGAUGAUCAGCCACACUGGGACUGAGACACGGCCCAGACUCCUACGGGAGGCAGCAGUGGGGAAUAUUAGACAAUGGGCGAAAGCCUGAUCCAGCAAUGCCGCGUGAGUGAUGAAGGCCUUAGGGUUGUAAAGCUCUUUUAACCGGGAGGAUAAUGACAGUACCGGGAGAAUAAGCUCCGGCUAACUCCGUG